AGGGAAGGACCAUAGCUGAGUGGUAGGGAAUCUGCUUUGCAUGCAGAUGGGCCCAGGUUCAAUCCCUAACGUCCCUA